GUUUGGAAGUACAGACCUAUUUAUGUUAGUCAGUUUAAAGUUGUUCCCGUUUAGCGUUAUCCUUGAUACCACUUCAUUGCGAAUUCCUUCUAAUUAAUUCCAUAAGUAAAAAUACCAAACAAACCAUAUAUGCCUUAUGGCAAAUUAAAUAAAUUAAAGGAAAUUCUAUGUCUAAUUCAAUGACUGGUACAGUAAAAUGGUUCGAUGAAGGUAAAGGUUUUGGUUUUAUUACUCCAGCAGAUGGCAGCAAAGAUGUAUUCGUGCAUUUCUCUGCAAUCCAAAGUGAUAACUUCAAAACAUUAGCUGAAGGCCAACAAGUUUCAUUCACCAUGGAAAAUGGUAUGAAAGGCCCAGCAGCAGGCAACGUGGUGGCUCUCUAAAGGCGCUAUUACAAUUCGCCUCUAUUUUAAAUG
rnacentral:sRNA from 1 species